CAGAGCUGGGAGGUGAGUAGUGGCCAGGGUACAUUAGAGUCAGCAAGGCCAGCAUGGGCGCCCAGUCUCACCCUGUGUCCCACCCAGGUGCUGGAGCUGUUGCGGUGGUGUCGUACCCACAUGUCAGCGCUGGUGCAGAGUGGGGAGCUGGCGCCCACUGUGUCCCCGAGUCAAUUACAAGCUAGCUCUGGACACAGACUGUGUGGCACCCUGCCCUCACUCAGGCUGGCACGGGCAGACAGGUAACAGUUCACAUUCUUGAGCCUCCCGGGCCAGCACACCCAGUGACCCCAUGCUUACCCUCAGCCUGCCCUUUAUCCCAGGGCACUGAGGCAAGGGCAGAUCAGGAGAUCCUCCCAAACCCCAGCCUUGGGGUUCGGCCAGGUAAGAAAGAGAGGAUGGGAGAGCAGGGACCCCUGCAUCCUCUUGGUGCUCAAAGCCCUGCUUUUCCCUCAGCUGAACAGCCUGCGGCCACCGGCACUGAUAAUGGGCAUCCCGCUGGUAGACCCCAAGGAGCUAGUACCAACCCAGGGUGAGCCUGACCGCACCUACGAGAGCAGUUCUCAUACCCUCAUGGCCAACCUCCUGUGGAAGGGCCACCCUGUUACUGUACGUCAGCUGAAGACCCCGGAAACCCGCCCUGACGUGCUACUGGCUGACCUUCAGCACUGCAGGUUACCAGUCCCAGCUGACCGCUGGCUCCAGCAGUCCACAACCAAGAGGAUGUGGUACUGGCCAUGGUUGUAGUUAAGCGUUGUCUCUGGGCUAGCAUCCCAAAUGGAGCCAGCCCUCCAGCUGUAAUGACACCCUCCCUAGAGUGGUACCCAGAGAGGAGGGAGGGAUGGGAGGGGACUUGGGCAGAUAUGGACUGGGGCUGACCUGUCACUGCUAGGCUGUGAUGGAGGGUCUCCGUGUUUUCUGCAUGGUGGCUGGUGAGACAGUCUUCCCCCGGCUCAUGGUAGGUGGCCUGUGGCCAGAAGCAGCCCUCACCUUGAGCAGGUGGGGGACAUUCUGAAGGACCCGCUCUGCUCCCUCCCAGCAUCCUGCACCACCCUGGCCUUCUGCUGCUGAUGGCAAUGAGCCCCUCAGAGGACCUGUCCGGACUCAGCCUGCUCUUUGAGCCCGUGUGUCUGGGCUCCCUUUAUACCCUGCUGCACUCAGCAAGAGCGGUUGAGGAGGGUCCCCGAGUGCUGCCAGGCCUGCGGCCCAGCUCCCUGCUGCUCCAGGUGGUGGAGGCCCUGUUGUUCCUGCAGUCCCGCUGCUGGGCCCAUGGCGGCCUCAGUUCUCAUGCUGUGCAGCUAGUGCGGCCAGGCCUGGUUAAGGUGAGCCACCUAGAGCACGGGCGUCCGCUGAACCAGCCCAGGCUGCAGCCCAGGUGAGAGCCUGCCCCCAUGUCUGCCCUAUCUCCGUCCUGGCAGCCACUAGCUCACCAGACCUUUUGACCUCCCCAGGCAGCAACGGGACUACCCCCAGGGAGACCCAAGUCCAGGGCUUCCCCCACCCCCUGAACUGUACCCAUGGCUACCACUUGAACUGAUCCGUGGUGACAUGCCAGCCCCUACCUCAGACCUCUACAGCUUCUGCAUCCUGGCCCAGGAAGUCUUCACUGGAGCGCUGCCGUGGGCUGGGGGAGAGGGACUGGAGGUGAAGGCAAAGCUGGAGGCAGGACUCAGAACCCAAGGUCAACUCCCCAGCAGAGUGGACAGCACUGUCUCCUGUAACCCUGGGGUCCCUGCCAGAGCAUCUGUACCGUGAAGUGACCCCCAGGGCCAAGGCCAGAUCAAGGCUUGUGCUCCCUUUCCCAGACCCUUCCCAGGCCCUGGAUAGUUCCGAGGUCACAGAUCGCAACAGAGUCCAGCAGAAUGCAGCCUGGGACUCGGGCAGCAGCUUGACUCUAGGCAGCAGCUUCAGUCCCAGCUCCAGUCUACAUCUGGACCCCAGCUCUGGUGUGGGCCCCAGUCCCAGCCCCAGCAAACACUGUUGCCCGGAAUCCAUCUCAAUAGUACGGAUACCCCUACUCCAUUACUAACCUGCACCCUAGCCUCUGACCUGUGAUUCCCUGAGCAGCCCACCAGCCUUGUGGAGCAGCUUCCCUGCUGGGGACCCAGAGCUCUGAGGAGCAGGGUGAGAGGAAGUUCUGUCAGGACCCAAACUCUGCAGGGACAGCUGUGGCACACACGGGACUGCUGUCCUGGACCCCCACCCAUGCAUGCUGACAAAGAGGCUUCACUGCCCAGAGCGCUGCUGCCAGGGAAGGCCAUGAGUAGAACACCCAAAGCCCCAGGCUCUGAGCCUCCGUGGCAGCUGGUGGCACCUUGCCCUUUCUUCCCACAGAAACCUGAUAGUGAGGAGAGUGAGCUGACGGAAGGCAGUUUCUUCUCCCGGCUACAGGAGUGAGAUGCACAGGCUGUGGUGGGCGGCCACGGGCCCCUCCCUCACCCUGAGCUAAGCCCAGGUCUGUCUGCCCUAUUGCUGCCCAGGAUGGAUCUGCUGGAGGAGAUCAUGGCAGAGCUGCAGAAUAAGUGCCACCUUGAAGACACUCCCAGGCUGAGCCCCACUCUUAACCCAGACUCGUAGGGUGCCCACAGCUCUUCCUGCAGACAUUACCCUGGGAGCCUUCCCAGGACUGACCCCAUUCCUCAGUGUCUACCUCAAAGGAAAGAAAGUCCCCGGUUUGUCUCUUCA